CAUGCAGUCGAGCGGCCCUUCGGGGGGAGGUGCGCAGGGGUCAAUAACGUGUGGGGACGUACCCUUAUGUAAGGAAUAACCGCUGGAAACGGAGAUAAUACCUUAUACGCCCUUCUAGGGAAAGAUUUUUCGGAUUUGGAUCGGCCCGCGUUAGAUUAGGUAUUUGGGGGGGUAACGGCCUACCAAGUCUACGAUCUAUAGCUGGUUUGAGAGGAUGAUCACCAACACUGGGACUGACACACGGCCCAUACUCCUACGGGGGGCAGCAGUGGGGAAUCUUAUACAAUGGGAGCCAGCCUGAUCCAACCUUGCCGCGUGAGUGAAAAACGCCUUAGGCUCGUAAAGCUCUUUCACCAGGGAUGAUAGUGACUAUACCUGGUAAAAAAGCCCCGGCUAACUCCGUGCCAGCAGCCGCGGUAAUACGGAGGGGGUUAGCGUUGUUCGGAAUUACUGGGCGUAAAGCGCGCGUACGCAGAUCAGAAAGUUAGGGGUGAAAUCCCGGGGCUCAACCCCGGAACUGCCCUUAAGACUCCUUGUCUAGAGUAUGAGAGAGGUGAGUGGAAUUCCGAGUGUAGAGGUGAUAUUCGUAGAUAUUCGGAGGAACACCAGUGGAGAGGGCGUCUCAGUGGCUCGAUACUGACUCUGAUGUGCGAAAGUGUGGGGAGCAAACAGGAUUAUAUACUGUGGUAGUCCACACCGUAAACUAUGAGUGCGUGUCGUCGGGGCAUAUACUGUUCGGUGGCACAUCUAACGUAAUAAGGAUUUCCACUGGAGAGUUGGCUCGCAAGAUUAAUACUCAAAAGAACUUACGGGUGCCCGCAAUAGCCGGGGGAACGUGUGGUUUAAUUCAGAAACACGCACAAAAUCAUUUCGAGCCCUUGACAUUCUG
rnacentral:rRNA from 1 species